rnacentral:rRNA from 1 species
UUACCGAGUGAGGGCCCUCUGGGUCCAACCUCCCACCCGUGUUUAUUUUACCUUGUUGCUUCGGCGGGCCCGCCUUAACUGGCCGCCGGGGGGCUCACGCCCCCGGGCCCGCGCCCGCCGAAGACACCCUCGAACUCUGUCUGAAGAUUGAAGUCUGAGUGAAAAUAUAAAUUAUUUAAAACUUUCAACAACGGAUCUCUUGGUUCCGGCAUCGAUGAAGAACGCAGCGAAAUGCGAUACGUAAUGUGAAUUGCAAAUUCAGUGAAUCAUCGAGUCUUUGAACGCACAUUGCGCCCCCUGGUAUUCCGGGGGGCAUGCCUGUCCGAGCGUCAUUGCUGCCCUCAAGCCCGGCUUGUGUGUUGGGCCCCGUCCUCCGAUCUCCGGGGGACGGGCCCGAAAGGUUUUGGCGGCACCGCGUCCGGUCCUCGAGCGUAUGGGGCUUUGUCACCCGCUCUGUAGGCCCGGCCGGCGCUUGCCGAUCAACCCAAAUUUUUAUCCAGGUUGACCUCGGAUCAGGUAGGGAUACCCGCUGAACUUAAGCAUAUCAA